rnacentral:rRNA from 1 species
AUUGAACGCUGGCGGCAGGCUUAACACAUGCAAGUCGAACGGUAGCAGGAGAAAGCUUGCUUUCUUGCUGACGAGUGGCGGACGGGUGAGUAAUGCUUGGGAAUCUGGCUUAUGGAGGGGGAUAACGACGGGAAACUGUCGCUAAUACCGCGUAUUAUCGGAAGAUGAAAGUGCGGGACUGAGAGGCCGCAUGCCAUAGGAUGAGCCCAAGUGGGAUUAGGUAGUUGGUGGGGUAAAUGCCUACCAAGCCUGCGAUCUCUAGCUGGUCUGAGAGGAUGACCAGCCACACUGGAACUGAGACACGGUCCAGACUCCUACGGGAGGCAGCAGUGGGGAAUAUUGCGCAAUGGGGGGAACCCUGACGCAGCCAUGCCGCGUGAAUGAAGAAGGCCUUCGGGUUGUAAAGUUCUUUCGGUAUUGAGGAAGGUUGAUGUGUUAAUAGCACAUCAAAUUGACGUUAAAUACAGAAGAAGCACCGGCUAACUCCGUGCCAGCAGCCGCGGUAAUACGGAGGGUGCGAGCGUUAAUCGGAAUAACUGGGCGUAAAGGGCACGCAGGCGGUUAUUUAAGUGAGGUGUGAAAGCCCUGGGCUUAACCUAGGAAUUGCAUUUCGGACUGGGUAACUAGAGUACUUUAGGGAGGGGUAGAAUUCCACGUGUAGCGGUGAAAUGCGUAGAGAUGUGGAGGAAUACCGAAGGCGAAGGCAGCCCCUUGGGAAUGUACUGACGCUCAUGUGCGAAAGCGUGGGGAGCAAACAGG